GACGAACGCUGGCGGCGUGCUUAACACAUGCAAGUCGAACGGAAAGGCCCUGCUUUUGUGGGGUGCUCGAGUGGCGAACGGGUGAGUAACACGUGAGUAACCUGCCCUUGACUUUGGGAUAACUUCAGGAAACUGGGGCUAAUACCGGAUAGGAGCUCCUGCUGCAUGGUGGGGGUUGGAAAGUUUCGGCGGUUGGUGAUGGACUCGCGGCUUAUCAGCUUGUUGGUGGGGUAGUGGCUUACCAAGGCUUUGACGGGUAGCCGGCCUGAGAGGGUGACCGGCCACACUGGGACGGAGAUAAGGCCCAGACUCCUACGGGAGGCAGCAGUGGGGAAUAUUGCACAAGGGGAGGAAGCCUGAUGCAGCAACGCCGCGUGCGGGAUGACGGCCUGCGGGUUGUAAACCGCUUUCGCCUGUGACGAAGCGUGAGUGACGGUAAUGGGUAAAGAAGCACCGGCUAACUACGUG
rnacentral:rRNA from 1 species